rfam:Erinaceus europaeus unplaced genomic scaffold scaffold00143, whole genome shotgun sequence
AGAUGUGAGGAUGAUCUGGCUGCGACAUCUGUCACCCCACUGAUCGCCAGGGUUGAUUUGGCUGAUCUGGCUGACUAAGAGGGUGUCCCCUUCCUCCCUCACCGCUCCAUGUGCGUCCCUCCCAAAGCUGCGUGCUUGGUUGAAGAGGACGGCCUUCCCCGAAUAGAGACAGACCGGCCUUCGGUCUAGGUUAUAGGAGUAGCUGUGCUCCCCUGCUAGAACCUCCAAACAAGCUCUCAAGGUUUUAGAUGACCCUCCCUAGAAUUCAUGGCUUUCAUGGUUUCCUCUUCAGUCUGUUGCACCGAAGCCUUGCUAGAGGAGGGCGGUUCUCCACCCU